UCCUGACUGACCGAUAGUGAACCAGUACCGUGAGGGAAAGGCGAAAAGAACCCCGGCGAGGGGAGUGAAAAAGAACCUGAAACCGUGUACGUACAAGCAGUGGGAGCACGCUUAGGCGUGUGACUGCGUACCUUUUGUAUAAUGGGUCAGCGACUUAUAUUCUGUAGCAAGGUUAACCGAAUAGGGGAGCCGAAGGGAAACCGAGUCUUAACUGGGCGUUAAGUUGCAGGGUAUAGACCCGAAACCCGGUGAUCUAGCCAUGGGCAGGUUGAAGGUUGGGUAACACUAACUGGAGGACCGAACCGACUAAUGUUGAAAAAUUAGCGGAUGACUUGUGGCUGGGGGUGAAAGGCCAAUCAAACCGGGAGAUAGCUGGUUCUCCCCGAAAGCUAUUUAGGUAGCGCCUCGUGAAUUCAUCUCCGGGGGUAGAGCACUGUUUCGGCAAGGGGGUCAUCCCGACUUACCAACCCGAUGCAAACUGCGAAUACCGGAGAAUGUUAUCACGGGAGACACACGGCGGGUGCUAACGUCCGUCGUGAAGAGGGAAACAACCCAGACCGCCAGCUAAGGUCCCAAAGUCAUGGUUAAGUGGGAAACGAUGUGGGAAGGCCCAGACAGCCAGGAUGUUGGCUUAGAAGCAGCCAUCAUUUAAAGAAAGCGUAAUAGCUCACUGGUCGAGUCGGCCUGCGCGGAAGAUGUAACGGGGCUAAACCAUGCACCGAAGCUGCGGCAGCGACGCUUAUGCGUUGUUGGGUAGGGGAGCGUUCUGUAAGCCUGCGAAGGUGUGCUGUGAGGCAUGCUGGAGGUAUCAGAAGUGCGAAUGCUGACAUAAGUAACGAUAAAGCGGGUGAAAAGCCCGCUCGCCGGAAGACCAAGGGUUCCUGUCCAACGUUAAUCGGGGCAGGGUGAGUCGACCCCUAAGACGAGGCCGAAAGGCGUAGUCGAUGGGAAACAGGUUAAUAUUCCUGUACUUGGUGUUACUGCGAAGGGGGGACGGAGAAGGCUAUGUUGGCCGGGCGACGGUUGUCCCGGUUUAAGCGUGUAGGCUGGUUUUCCAGGCAAAUCCGGAAAAUCAAGGCUGAGGCGUGAUGACGAGGCACUACGGUGCUGAAGCAACAAAUGCCCUGCUUCCAGGAAAAGCCUCUAAGCAUCAGGUAACAUCAAAUCGUACCCCAAACCGACACAGGUGGUCAGGUAGAGAAUACCAAGGCGCUUGAGAGAACUCGGGUGAAGGAACUAGGCAAA
rnacentral:rRNA from 1 species